rnacentral:lncRNA from 1 species
UCUCAAAAUGCUCCAAACUUCAGGAAACUUCACAGUAACGAUGAGCAACAUUGGAAGAUGUGGAAUUUGGCGUUGGAAUUUCCAAAAUAUCUGUUGUUACCUUGGAAACAAUGCAAAAAGGUCAAAACUUUGAAUUUUCACAGAACAUUCCAGAACAUUAAUGUUAAAUUUAGUCUAGAGACAUUAAAUGGUAUAUUAUUAUGGAGGGCAAAAAAUGCAGCAUGGGUUUGACUUUGGAAUAUUCAAAAUGGCCGCCGUUACCAUGGAAACAGCAAAAAUAUGAAAAACUUCAAAAUGCUUCAAAUUUAAGGAAACUUAUAACAAAUGUUGCCUAGCUUAUGUAGACUUGACUUUUGAGUUUGGAAUUUUCUAAAUGGCCGCCGCUCACCUGGCAAUAGGGGAAGGGUGCCAUCCGUUAUUGCUAGCAAUUACAAAUCUAGUUAUUAUUGUCACCCGAUCGACAAUGUCGGGUGACAUAUUGCUUUUCCUCUGUUUCUUUAUUAUUAUUAUUAUUUUUCUUCCACCUAAUUUUGUCCGGCAGUUUUCUCAGAGCCAAAGGAACCAAUCUGAAUGAUAGUGCACUAUAACAAGGAACCCUGACUUUCCUGUUGCAGUUUCAACUUUGGAACUAAAAAAAUGGCUGCCAUCACCAUGGAAACGAAAAAUGGUGAAAAAAUAUAAUUUUGGAGUUAGGUGAAUUGUUUGAGAAUGCUUAACCUUAAAAUCUUUAGAUUUUAAUACAAUGUAGGUGCCCACUAUAUACUGGUUUUGGGAUGAUUUUGGCAAUCAUUGGAACUGCUAUGUUGCCAUGGAUACUACACCAAAAAUUUCCAAAAUAUGGAAAUGCUCCAAAUUUAAUGAAACUUCACAGUAACGAUGAGCAACAUUGGUAGAUGUGGAAUUUGGCGUUGGAAUUUCCAAAAUGUCUGCCGUUUCCAUGGAAACAAUGCAAAAAAAAAUGGUCCAAAAACACUUAAAGUGGCAUUUACUUUCUUAAAAGGGUAGGUCAAAUCCAUUGAAACUUUGAUGGUAUGUCCCUCCCAUGUACCAAUGUGGUAUAUGCCAUUAGAAUUUUGGAAUGGUCUCUGUUGCCAUAGAAACCAGCAAAAUGUCAAAAAAUUUCAAAAAUUUCAAAAUGCUCCAAAAUUGAUGAAACUUAAUAUGAUUGUUGACUGUCAAGUCUGCAUGAGACUUUUGAAGUUGGAAUUUCCAAAAUGGCCACCGUUGCCAUGGAAACUGCAAAAAUGUCAAAUAUUUUCAAAAUGCUCCAAACUUAAUGAAACUUAAUAUUAUUGUAAACUGGCAUGUAUAGAUGAGACUUUUGACUUUGAAAUUUUCAAAAUGGCUGCCGUUGCCAUGGAAACAGCAAAAAAUGUGAAAUUUUUAAAAAUGCUCUGAAUGUACUGAAAAUUUACAGAAAAAUGUAUAGCCAUGCAAAUAUGUGCAUUCACUGUUAAACAAUUUUGAAAUGGCUGCCGCUUAGUGGCAAUGGGGGAAGGGUGACAUCCGCUAUUGCUUGCAAUGGCAAUUCUAGUUAUUAUUAUUUUCUUCCACCUAAUUUUGUCCGGCAGUUUUCUCAGAGCCAAAGGAACCAAUCUGAAUGAUGGUGCACUAUAACAAGGAACCCUGACUUUCCAGUUGCAGUGCAACUUUGGAACUAAAAAAUGGCUGCCAUCACCAUGGAAACGAAAAAUAAUGGAAAAAAUUCCAGUUUUUGGUUUUGGUGAAUUAUUUGGAAAUGCUUUAAACUUAGAAUCAUUAUAUUUUGAUACAAUGUAGGUGCCGGGCUAUAUACUGGUUUUGGAUGAUUUUGGCAAUCAUUGGAACUACUAUGUUGCCAUGGAUACUACACCAAAAAUUUCAAAAAUAUGGAAAUGCUCCAAAUUUUAUAAAACUUCACAGUAACGAUGAGCAACAUUGGUAGAUGUGGAAUUUGGCGUUGGAAUUUCCAAAAUGUCUGCCGUUACCAUGGAAACAAUGCAAAAAGGUCAAAAUGGUCCAAAAACCUUAAGUGGCAUUUACUUUCUUAAAAUGGUAGGUCAAAUUGAUUGAAACUUUGAUGGUAUGGUCCCUCCCAUACAUGUACCAAUGUGGUAUCUGCCAUUAAUUUUGGAAUGGUCUCUGUUGCCAUAGGAACCAGCCCAAAAUGUCAAAAAUUUCAAAAAUUUCAAAAUGCUCCAAAAUUGAUGAAACUUAAUAUGAUUGUUGACUGUCAAGUCUGCAUGAGACUUUUGAAGUUGGAAUUUCCAAAAUGGCCACCGUUGCCAUGGAAACUGCAAAAUGUCAAAUAUUUUCAAAAUGCUCCAAACUUAAUGAAACUUAAUAUUAUUGUUAACUGGCAUGUAUAGAUGAGACUUUUGACUUUGGAAAUUUUCAAAAUGGCUGCCGUUGCCAUGGAAACAGCAAAAAUGUGAAAUUUUCUAAAAUGCUCUGAAUGUACUGAAAAUUUACAGAAAGAUGUAUUGCCAAUGCAUAUAUAUGUGCAUUCACUGUUAAACAAUUUUGAAAUGGCUGCCGCUUAGUGGCAAUGGGGGAAGGGUGACAUCCGCUAUUGCUUGCAAUGGCAAUUGUUAUGGCAAGGAGUUAUAUUGUUAUUAUGUCACCCGAUCGACAAUGUCGGGUGACAUAUUGCUUUUCCUCUGUUUCUUUUUCCAUUACCCGAUCGACAAUUCGGGUGACAUAUUGCUUUUCCUCUGUUUCUUUUUCCAUUAUUAUUAUUAUUUUUCUUCUUCACCUAAUUUUGUCCGGCAGUUUUCUCAGAGCCAAAGGAACCAAUCUGAAUGAUGGUGCACUAUAACAAGGAACCCUGACUUUCCAGUUGCUUUGGUAUUGGAACUAAAAAAAUGGCUGCCGUUCACCAUGGAAACGGAAAAAUGGUGAAAAAAAUUAAUUUUGGAGUUUGGUGAAUUGUUUGAGAAUGCUUAAACUUAGAAUCAUUAUAUUUUAAUACAAUGUAGGUGCCCACUAUAUACUGGUUUUGGGAUGAUUUUGGCAAUCAUUGGAACUGCUAUGUUGCCAUGGAUAACUACACCAAAAAUUUCCAAAAAUAUGGAAAAUGCUCCAAAUUUUAAAACUUCACAGUAACGAUGAGCAACAUUGGUAGAUGUGGAAUUUGGCGUUGGAAUUUCCAAAAUGUCUGCCGUUACCAUGGAAACAAUGCAAAAAGGUCAAAAUGCUCAAAAACCUUAAAGUGGCAUUUACUUUCUUAAAAUGGUAGGUCAAAUUGAUUGAAACUUUGAUGGUAUGGUCCCUCCCAUGUACCAAUGUGGUAUAUGCCAUUCAAUUUUGGAAUGGUCUCUGUUACCAUAGGAACCAUCCAAAAUGUCAAAAAUUUCAAAAAUUUCAAAAUGCUCCAAAUUGAUGAAACUUAAUAUGAUUGUUGACUGUCAAGUCUGGAUGAGACUUUUGAAGUUGGAAUUUCCAAAAUGGCCACCGUUGCCAUGGAAACUGCAAAAAUGUCAAAUAAUUUUCAAAAUGCUCCAAACUUAAUGAAACUUAAUAUUAUUGUUAACUGGCAUGUAUAGAUGAGACUUUUGACUUUGGAAUUUUCAAAAUGGCUGCCGUUGCCAUGGAAACAGCAAAAAUGUGAAAUUUUAAAAUGCUCUGAAUGUACUGAAAAUUUACAGAAAGAUGUAUUGCAAUGCAUAUAUGUGCAUUCACUGUUAAACAAUUUUGAAAUGGCUGCCGCUUAGUGGCAAUGGGGGGGAAGGGUGACAUCCGCUAUUGCUUGCAAUGGCAAUUCUAGUUAUUAUUAUUUUUCUUCCACCUAAUUUUGUCCGCCAGUUUUCUCAGAGCCAAAGGAACCAAUCUGAAUGAUGGUGCACUAUAACAAGGAACCCUGACUUUCCAGUUGCAGUGCAACUUUGGAACUAAAAAAUGGCUGCCAUCACCAUGGAAACGGAAAAAUGGUGAAAAAAUUUUUGGGUUUUGGUGAAUUAUUUGAGAAUGCUUAACUUAGAAUCAUUAUAUUUUAAUACAAUGUAGGUGCCCACUAUAUACUGGUUUGGGAUGAUUUUGGCAAUCAUUGGAACUGCUAUGUUGCCAUGGAUACUACACCAAAAAUUUCCAAAAUAUGGAAAUGCUCCAAAUUUUAUAAAACUUCACAGUAACGAUGAGCAACAUUGGUAGAUGUGGAAUUUGGCGUUGGAAUUUUGAAAAUGUCUGCCGUUACCAUGGAAACAAUGCAAAACAGGUCAAAAUGGUCCAAAAAACCUUAAAGUGGCAUUUACUUUCUUAAAAUGGUAGGUCAAAUUUAACGAAACUUUGAUGGUAUGGUCCCUCCCAUGUACCAAUGUGGUAUAUGCCAUUAAAUUUUGGGAAUGGUCUCUGUUGCCAUAGGAACCAUCACAAAUGUCAAAAUUUUCAAAAAUUUCAAAAUGCUCCAAAAUUGAUGAAACUUAAUAUGUUUGUAGACUGUCAAGUCUGGAUGAGACUUUUGAAGUUGGAAUUUCCAAAAUGGCCACCGUUGCCAUGGAAACUGCAAAAAUGUCAAAUAUUUUCAAAAUGCUUUGAAACUUUAAUGAAACUUGAAUAUUAUUGUUAACUGGCAAGUAUAGAUGAGACUUUUGACUUUGAAAUUUCAAAAUGGCUGCCGUUGCCAUGGAAACAGCAAAAAUGUGAAAUUUUCUAAAAUGCUCUGAAUGUACUGAAAAUUUACAGAAAGAUGUAUUGCCAUGCAAAUAUGUGCAUUCACUGUUAAAAGAUUUUGAAAUGGCUGCCGCUUAGUGGCAAUGGGGGGAAGGGUGACAUCCGCUAUUGCUUGCAAUGGCAAAUCUAGUUAUUAUUUAUUCUUCCACACUUUUUUGUCCAUGCUAUUUCUCGGAAU